CGCCAUGUCCUCAGGCAACUUCCAAUCAAACCAAUAGAGAAGGUUGGCCAACACACAUUCAAAAGAAGCAAGCGCAAACGACAAUCCAGGGCACUUCCUUCUUCCACUUCCAAAUGAUUGUGGGGUCUCUUUGGAUUGCCCAAGCAUUCACGAAGACACUGGUUCCUGAUGCCACAUGGUAGCCUUCGAUGUCGACGACGUCUGAUGUUUCUCGUGGCACAAGCAGAGGAAUUGGUGUUCGGGUUUCUAAUCAGCUCUGCCAUUGCCCAUUCCAAUGCUGUUGCAGAUGUGUCACUCCCACCGGCGAACAUGUCCUACAAUUCCGACAGCCAUAUUGAAUUUCGGUAUGUUCAUCCUAUUUUCAAUUGCUAGUCGAAGGAGUAAAAGUAACUAA